rnacentral:rRNA from 1 species
CCCUACGGGGUGCACCAGGCGCGAAAACUUUACAAUGCGGGAAACCGUGAUAAGGGGACACCGAGUGCCAGCAUCAUAUGUUGGCUGUCCAGAUGUGUAAAAUACAUCUGUUAGCUAGGGCCGGGCAAGACCGGUGCCAGCCGCCGCGGUAA